rnacentral:rRNA from 1 species
GAUGAACGCUGGCGGCGUGCCUAAUACAUGCAAGUCGAGCGAACGGACGAGAAGCUUGCUUUUCUGAUGUUAGCGGCGGACGGGUGAGUAACGCGUGGAUAACCUACCUAUAAGACUGGGAUAACUUCGGGAAACCGGAGCUAAUACCGGAUAAUAUUUUGAACCGCAUGGUUCAAAAGUGAAAGACGGUCUUGCUGUCACUUGUAGAUGGAUCCGCGCUGCAUUAGCUAGUUGGUAAGGUAACGGCUUGCCAAGGCAACGAUGCAUAGCCGACCUGAGAGGGUGAUCGGCCACACUGGAACUGAGACACGGUCCAGACUCCUACGGGAGGCAGCAGUAGGGAAUCUUCCGCAAUGGGCGAAAGCCUGACGGAGCAACGCCGCGUGAGUGAUGAAGGUCUUCGGAUCGUAAAACUCUGUUAUUAGGGAAGAACAUAUGUGUAAGUAACUGUGCACAUCUUGACGGUACCUAAUCAGAAAGCCACGGCUAACUACGUG